rnacentral:rRNA from 1 species
GACGAACGCUGGCGGCGUGCUUAACACAUGCGAGUCGAACGGAAAGGCCCUGCUUUUGUGGGUUGCUCGAUUGGCGAACGGGUGAGUAACACGUGAGUAACCUGCCCUUGACUUUGUGAUAACUUCAGGAAACUGGGGCUAAUACCUGAUAGAAGCUCCUGCUGCAUGGGGGUGGUUGGAAAGUUUCGGCCGUUGGGGAUGUACUCGCGGGUUAUCAGCUUGUUGGUUGGGUAGUGGCUUACCAAGGCUUUGACGGGUAGCCGGCCUGAGAGGGUGACCGGGGACCUUGGGACUGAGAUAGGGACCAGACUCCUACGGGAGGCAGCAGUGGGGAAUCUUGCACAAUGGGCGGAAGCGUGAUGCAGAAACGCCGCGUGCGGGAUGACGGGUUUCGGGUUGUAAACCGCUUUCGCCUGUGACGAAGCGUGAGUGACGGUAAUGGGUAAAGAAGCACCGGCUAACUACGUG